UUUCGAAUCAUUCACAAUGGGCGAAAGCCUGAUGGUGCGACGCCGCGUGAGGGACGAAGGCCUUCGGGUUGUAAACCUCUGUCACCGGGGAAGAAACACUACGUUUUAACAGAUCGUAGUCUGACUUAACCCGGAGAGGAAGCAGUGGCUAACUCUGUGCCAGCAGCCGCGGUAAUACAGAGACUGCAAGCGUUAUUCGGAUUCACUGGGCGUAAAGGGUGCGCAGGCGGUCGUGUGUGUCAGGUGUGAAAGCCCGGAGCUUAACUCCGGAAUUGCGCCUGAAACUACACGACUAGAGCAUUGGAGAGGGAAGUGGAAUUCACGGUGUAGCAGUGAAAUGCGUAGAUAUCGUGAGGAACACCAGAGGCGAAGGCGACUUCCUGGACAAUUGCUGACGCUCAGGCACGAAAGCGUGGGGAGCAAAAGG
rnacentral:rRNA from 1 species